GGCCCCAUUAGCUCAGUUGGUUAGAGCCUGGUGCUAAUAACGCCAAGGUCGCGGGUUCGAUCCCCUCAUGGACCA